rnacentral:ncRNA from 1 species
CAAGUCCCACCCGGCAACCGCUCCAGCCGGAAGCAACCGGAGCAGUCAUGGAGGUAACGAAAUGGCUGAAGCCUCUGGUUAGCGUGUCACGAAUUGGUGACAGCGCGAGUGUGCAGGCCGUAACGCGAGUGAACGCCGAGCAGGCCUCGAAAAGGACGAUGCGCAGGCCGACCCGACAACCCUUUCGGGGAAGGCUGAUACGGCUGGGGUUAAUGAGCGAAGCAGUCCGCCCAGCCGCUGCGCCGGGGUAGUGGCGAC